rnacentral:rRNA from 1 species
CGGACGGGUGAGUAACGCGUGGGGAACCUGCCCUGUACAGGGGGAUAACACUUAGAAAUAGGUGCUAAUACCGCAUAAGCGCACAGCUUCGCAUGAAGCGGUGUGAAAAACUCUGGUGGUAUACGAUGGUUCCGCGUCUGAUUAGCUAGUUGGUGGGGUAAUGGCCUACCAAGGCAACGAUCAGUAGCCGGCCUGAGAGGGUGAACGGCCACAUUGGGACUGAGACACGGCCCAAACUCCUACGGAAGGCAGCAG